AGACCACUCAUUAUCUCUCGGUUAGUCCAUCUCGCUUAAAACAUUUUUUGGCUCCACCCACCACGAUUUCUCUCUCAUUCUCACUCGACACACUCUCUAGAUCGAUUGAUCCUACCUCUCUCAAUAUAAACUAGGGGUUCUAAACACAUCCUGCUCUCUCUCUCUCUCUCUAUUGAUGGAUCAUACCUUCUUGAUAUGAGCCGAUUUUGAUUGAAUUAGUCGAUUCCAAUGACUACCGAACUUCAUCUGUCACUCUUAUUGAUUCCAAUGGCAUCCAUGAUCGAAUCUGUCGCUACGUUGAAAUUUCUUUAUCACCAAUCAUCCAUCCUUAACGAGUUUGCAGGUACGGUUGAUUUUUUUUGGGGUAAACUACAAUGACCUCCCCUAAAGUUUGGUCUAAUUACAAAUAAACCUGAGUUUUGUCAUUUUUUUUUUUUUUUGCAAAGACCACUUGCGUCAAGAUUUUGUAAAAUAUUGUUAAAAAUGUUCAAAAUAUCUUGCAUAUUAAAUGACCCUUUUAUUUUUGUUUUGUUUUUUUGUUUUUUUUUUUUUUUUUUUACUUUUUCUCAACAUUCCCCCUUUUUUUUCUCCCUCUUUCACUCUCCUCUCCACCUCGUAUCACCAUCGCCACCAAGCACCUUCUCUCACUCUCCUCGCCACGAAGCACCACGAUCGCCACCAAGCACCACCAUUCCCACCUCACAACCACCAGCGGCGCCACCGCCGCCAACCAACACCUGCAGAAACGCCUUGACAACCUCCUUCUACCCCUUCCAUCUCCUAAUUUCCAACCUUCUUCUCCACUGAGGUCAGAUAACCAUCGGGCUCUGCUGAUUGAAUCCACAACCUCUUACGAAUCGACGCCGAUGACAACUGUCGGGAAGGAGACUGAAAUCCUAAUCAAGCGUCGGUGUGGUCGGAAUGUGCAGACACGGUCGGAAUCCUAAUCAAAUGUGGGUUGAUCGAAUCCACAACCUUGCCAAACAGCAGAGCCAAUGCUGAUGUCGAUACCGGAGCCAAAUUCACUCUCUUCUUGGAUGUCUCAACACUUGUUUAUUGAAUCCACAACCUCUAUAUAUGAUGAUUGAGGACGGUUGAGGGGUGAUAUUUUUUUUUUCUUUUCAGAAAAGGCUCUACUAUAAGUUGUCAAAUUAAUUUGGUAUUUUUGUUUACUGGUCCAAUUUUUGACGUUCUUGUGGCUUUUUCUCCAGAAGCUACACCAGUUUUUUGUUUGUCACUUUGUCUUAAAGUGAACCAAGCAAUCGAUCCCCUGAAAAUGUCAAAAUAAUAAUGUGUUGGUAGAAGAUUGGAGGUAACCCCUAAAAGUUCGGCUACGGCUCCCACCGUGUACCUGUUUGUCCCUCUUUGAUCCUAAUCGCUUCCAGUUCUGUGAUUCUGAUGAUAAAUUUGAUGAUGAUGAUUAUGGGCGUGGGGAUGGUGGUGGUGGUGCCACCAAUUUGAUGAUUAUGGUUUCGGCUCCCUCACAGUAGUGGUGGUCCUGGUUAUGGGGAGUGAGUGGCGGCGGCGGUCGCGGUCGCGCCACUAGUAUAUGUAUAUAUGGGCAAAAAAAUGCAUAUAUACAAUCAUUACACGAUCGUAAGUUACAUGCUCUCCAAAUCAGGUUUUUCUUGGGAUUACAGUAGAGGAUCAAUACUUGCUAGUGAAGAAUCAGUUUGGAAUGCUUGGGUAAAGGAACAUCCUGAACUGGAGGAAAAUUUCACUGAAAAACUGAGAUGACAUAUGUACUUUCUUUACACAAGACCGUGCAAUUGGAGAGGGUGCUCAAACCGCUUUGGAAGCCGACAUGCAAAUGGUUAAUGAAGAAUCAUCCGGAAAUGUAAAAACUGAGAUGACAUUUGUACUCUGAUUGUCAAGUAGCAUGUUAUUUUCCUUUUCCGGACAGAAUAACUUUAUUUUCAUGUAAACAGUAUCAUGAUAUAUAUUUUUAGUUCUCUUUUAGAUUCA